rnacentral:rRNA from 1 species
GAUGAACGCUGGCGGCGUGCCUAAUACAUGCGAGUAGAACGCUGAAGGAGGAGCUUGCUCUUCUGGAUGAGUUGCGAACGGGUGAGUAACGCGUAGGUAACCUACCUGGUAGCGGGGGAUAACUAUUGGAAACGAUAGCUAAUACCGCAUGACAACAGUUAUUGCAUGAUAACUGUUUAAAAGGGGCAACUGCUCCACUACCAGAUGGACCUGCGUUGUAUUAGCUAGUUGGUGAGGUAACGGCUCACCAAGGCGACGAUACAUAGCCGACCUGAGAGGGUGAUCGGCCACACUGGGACUGAGACACGGCCCAGACUCCUACGGGAGGCAGCAGUAGGGAAUCUUCGGCAAUGGACGGAAGUCUGACCGAGCAACGCCGCGUGAGUGAAGAAGGUUUUCGGAUCGUAAAGCUCUGUUGUAAGAGAAGAACGAGUGUGAGAGUGGAAAGUUCACACUGUGACGGUAUCUUACCAGAAAGGGACGGCUAACUACGUG